ensembl:lncRNA
AUGUUAGACAACCAGCAUCCAUCUUUUAAGAACCGGGUGGAUCUGCAGGACAGACAGAUGAAGGAUGGAGACGUGUCUCUGAUUCUGAAGAGUGUGACGAUUAAUGACACUGGAACGUACAAGUGUUGUUUCUUCAUGAGGGGAACAAAUCGUGGGAAGAGAGCUAAUCUGAAGACUCACUCCAUCAACAUCAUCAGCCUGAGAGUUGAUCCUCCAGGUCAGACAGGAGGACACACAGAGGAUGGAGGGAAGGAGGCUAAAGGCAAGAAGGAUGGAUCUGUUGGACUGAAAGUUGGUCUCUCAGUUGCUGUUAUUGUUGUUGCUGCUGUUGUUGUUUUUUUGAUCUACCUAAAACAAUGUAACCAGAUUCAAUAUCAGGCUCCAGUUGAACUUCAGUCUGUUUGAAAUGUUUCCGUUUUUUUUCCAGCUGAUCUGAUUCUCUGUUUCAACUUCUCAGAGGUGACACUGAGCAUUCAGAGCAGGGGCUAUUUUAGCCCAUUUUGAAUCAAAGCACCCCCAAAGAUUUCUUUCUUUCUUUCUUUUUUUUUUUUUUACAAUAUUUUGUAAUAUUUUCUGUUUGUGGGACACACUACUAAAAACAUAAAAAGCAUACAGUACUUAAUUGAGAUGGAACAUUUUAACAACAAAAGUAUAGAUAGAUAUAUAUAGUUAGGUAGCAGUCAGACCAUGUUUCUUAUAGGCUGAAAAACAUUACACCAGGUAACCUGCAGUGUUGAAAACGUGUUUCCCGACUAUGUUUGCUACAAUCCGUCCUGCUCUGUAGAAAAAUCAUUGACAUUUGACCGUCCUGUUGCUCCCAUUGAAAUGUAUAUAACCUAUUUAAAAUCUAAAACUUAACAUUGUCCGUAGCUACUGUUGUUACCACUGUCCUGUUUGAAAUGCAAUGAGAGAAACUGGUUAUUUUGUCCUAUGUGCAUGUGCCGAUAUUAUGCAUGUGCCCAUUAACCUUAUAACUCCUGGUGUGUGUGUGUGUGUGUGUGUGUGUGUGUGUGUGUGUGUGUGUGUGUGUGUGUGUGUGUGUGUGUGUGUGUGUGUGUGUGAUCCAGGUAAACGUGUAAGAUUAAUAAAGGAUAAUGUUGGUUCAGUGUUUCAAUAUUUAUAUCCUUUAUUAGAUGUACAUGUGGUUUGGUCAUUUGCCUUUUGGUUGAAAGUACACUGAGAGAGGACUUUUUUAUUAGUGAUCUUUAUAGUAUUUUGUAUUCAAUUAGAUUUAAAAAUCUAUUUGUGUAUGAUUGUCAGUCCAAAGAGGGAGAGAGGAAAGAGGAGAACCUGAGGAGAAAGUACAAGGUCAGGAAGAACCAGGUAAGAAAACAGACAGGGAACAGUGACAGGCACAACAGAAACUGUUAAACUGACAAAGAAAAAAACAAACAAACUAAUUUUACUCAUAAAAUCUGGAAGUUGUGUCCUCCCUAUAUUAAAGCUGCUAUACAGAAUCUGCAAAACAAACUGGGUUGUCAGCCCUGGCACUGCAUUACCAUAUUGAACUUCAGUCAGAGGAAGUCACAGUUGCCAAAAACUUUUUGAAGCUCAAGAGUGAGGCUGGUGCCGUUCCAGAUAUGUUAACAUUGUACAAUCUUCUGGAUAAUCAGAUCUUCCCCACACUGAAAGCUGUUGUUCAGGUUGCCCUAACAAACCCAGUUAGCAGCUGUAGCUGUGAAAGGUCUUUUAGUGUCUUGAGUCAGCUCUAUACCUGGCUGAGAAGGACCAUGGGUCAAAGCAGACUCCAGCACCUGGCUGUGAUGUCAGUUGAGAAAGAGAUGCUUGAGAGACUUGACCACCAAAAUGUGAUAGACAGAUUUGCCAACCUCAAGGUGAGGCGACAUAGGUUAAAAGAAAGAAAAAUCUGCAGAGCCACAGUAGUAUCUGCAGUAAAGAUCUUUUCAUACAUUGUAUACAUUGUACCAGAGGCCAAGGUGUCUCCAUUUUUCUAAUUUUUUAAUAAUAUUUUGUACAUUUCAAGGACUCGUCUAUUUUUGGAGUGUAUUUUCUAUGUAUCUGUAUUAUAUUAUACAUACACAUUAAAAGUGAAUCUCUGUGCAAAAAAUGCGCUCAGUUUACUUCUUACUCACCAUGAGCAUCAUUCAUUAUUCUCCCCAGUAAUUAAGGUUAGGAUAUGUAUUUUUAAAAAAAAUUCCAAUCCAUUCUUCUUUUGCAGCAUUUAAAUAACCUUUAUCAGAUUUGAUGGUUUUGUUACAGACUUUAAAAAAGUGUUUUGCUUUUCUUUCACAAAUGUGGGGAUUAAAUUGUGUUAAAAUGUACAAAACAGUGAUGUCAUGUUUUGUGACGAGGAACAGGCACAGAGAGACUUGAUGAAUUUAAGAAUCUUA